rnacentral:rRNA from 1 species
AUGGUGGCGCGAUUCCGUGAGCCUGUCGUCAGGAUCCUGGGGGCCGGCCUCAGCGUCGGUCAGGUGGCUGCCGUUGCACACGCCAAGGACGCCGCCAGCGUCACCGUCGACGAGGCGCGCGUCCGCGUCCAGGCCUGCAUCGACUGGAUCGUCCACUCGGUGGCAAACGGCGGUGACAUCUACGGCGUCACCACAGGCUUCGGUGACAUCUACGAAGGAAAAUGCAGACAAUAA